GUUGUGGCUCAGUGGUAGAGCUCUUGCCUAGCAGGCAUGAGGCACUGGGUUUGAUCCUCAGCACCACA
rnacentral:tRNA from 1 species